rnacentral:rRNA from 1 species
AACGAACGCUGGCGGCGUGGAUAAGACAUGCAAGUCGAACGGGACAGACCGAGUAGCAAUAUUUGGAAUGUUCAGUGGCGAACGGGUGCGUAACACGUGGAUAACAUUCCGGAAAGCGGGGAAUAGCCCAGGGAAACUUGGAUUAAUACCGCAUGUGGCCGCAAGGCUAAAGACGGGGACCGCAAGGCCUGUCACUUUCCGAUUGGUCCGCGGCCUAUCAGCUAGUUGGCGGGGUAAUGGCCCACCAAGGCUACGACGGGUAGCUGGUCUUAGAGGACGACCAGCCACACUGGAACUGAGACACGGUCCAGACACCUACGGGUGGCAGCAGUCGAGAAUCUUUCACAAUGGGGGCAACCCUGAUGGAGCGACGCCGCGUGGGGGAUAAGGUCUUCGGAUUGUAAACUCCUGUCAUGCGAGGACAAGGUACUCAGGCUAAUAACCUGAUUGUUUGAUGGUACCGCAAGAGGAAGAGACGGCUAACUCUGUGCCAGCCGCCGCCGUAAUAC